AAAAUAUUGCAAGGAGUUCUUGUUCAUCUGCAUGGCAUAAUCAAUUCAUGGAGGCUUGAGAAUGUAAGGUCACAUAUGCAUUAAUAUUGUCAGUAUUAGUUGAGGGGUUUUUCAUUAUCUUUUACAGCAGAAAUGUUUGUUUUGUUUAGGCGGUCCUGGAGAAACCACCAAGGAUCUUGAAAACGUGAAACAUGCAAUCCGUGAAAGUAAACGCGAGAGCAAGGGAGUUCCUACACGUGACAUAACAGAUGGAUUAAUUGAAGCUGUAUUAGACAUGGGCUUAAUCGUGUCCGAUAAUGAUGGAAAGGGAAAUUGUUUGUUCCAUGCUUUAUCAGAACAACUGGAAACUGUUAAAAAAAUCAAAAUUCCACAUGAUGAAUUAAGGAAAACCUUAGUUCAAUACCUCAAAGAGAACCCAGAAACGGUAGGUUUUGUUUGGUAUUUAUAAGUGCUAUUAAAAACUGUGUCAAUUGCUCGCUCAGUUACAUAAUCAAAUAUGACAUUUUUUAACCUUCUCCUGGAUUCACAGUGUUUCGUGUUUGUAUAUUUAAUGGGAAGGAUUAAACGUGAGACCAGCCGAGAAAAACUGUUUAAAAUCUUCUUUCCGAGAUACUUACUUUUCAGAAAAUUGUGUAGAAAAUAGGAGACAUUGUGGUAACAUGAAUUGGUUAUCAUUAUCAUCGAUAUUUUUUGGGUGCUUAGUUAUUCAUGACCGGCAAAGAGGCUCUUAUAUACAAACUUUGAAAUUUUCCUAGUACUGAACAAUAUACAACCAUGACGUGAAUUCUCUCUUUCCUGUUGGGCAGAUUACUAUAGUUUUCUCGUCCAUGUUGUUGAUUGUGUGAUUUGCUAACUUUUUAGUAGCAAUGAUUUCUGGCCUCUGGACUCUCCGUCAGGAAUUUGGUAUUUUUCAUCUUUUGCAAGCUCAAGUGAUCUCAGUCACACCAGGGAAGGAAGUGCUUAAUCUCAAACCAUGGCCACGCAGCCUUCUUUCCAUGGUUUGCGUAUUUAAGCGGAGGAACCUUCUCUAAGUUUUCUUCACUUUUUCAACACAGCCUGACUUUGCAUUCAAAGACACCAAUUUCACAUUCAGCUGCAUGGUUUAAAUUGUGCUCAGCUCUGCAAAUUUCUGAUCACUCAUGUAAUACGGUGUGAUGAAAGAUGGAGCUGAUCUGUACAGCAUGUUGGACGAAAACCAACGUACCCGUUUUGGCGGAUGGGAUGAGUACCUAACAGAUAUGGCAAAGGAUGGUAUUUGGGGUGAUGAAAUGAUACUCUUUGCAGCAGCAAACCACUUUAAAACCGUUAUUAAUGUAAUCAGUUCAUCACCUGGAAAAGAAAGACAGGAAAUCCCUGUUAGACCAGAAUGUAAAGUGGAAGAUGAAAAUCCAAUUUGGCUGGGGCACAUAUAUGACUGCCAUUUUGUCAGCCUUCUCAAAGGUACCACAUCUAUAAAGUUCAUUACAAUGCAUAUAGGUCUUUUGUAAGUGACUGGUGUCAUACCAAUUUGUUUCAGCCAUCAUAC